rnacentral:rRNA from 1 species
AUUGAACGCUGGCGGCAGGCCUAACACAUGCAAGUCGAGCGGUAGAGAGGUGCUUGCAUCUCUUGAGAGCGGCGGACGGGUGAGUAAUGCCUAGGAAUCUGCCUAGUGGUGGGGGAUAACGUUCGGAAACGGACGCUAAUACCGCAUACGUCCUACGGGAGAAAGCGGGGGAUCUUCGGACCUCGCGCCAUUAGAUGAGCCUAGGUCGGAUUAGCUAGUUGGUGAGGUAAUGGCUCACCAAGGCGACAAUCCGUAACUGGUCUGAGAGGAUGAUCAGUCACACUGGAACUGAGACACGGUCCAGACUCCUACGGGAGGCAGCAGUGGGGAAUAUUGGACAAUGGGCGAAAGCCUGAUCCAGCCAUGCCGCGUGUGUGAAGAAGGUCUUCGGAUUGUAAAGCACUUUAAGUUGGGUAGGAAGGGCAGUAAGUUAAUACCUUGCUGUUUGACGUUACCAACAGAAUAAGCA